rnacentral:lncRNA from 1 species
UCACCCAAGGUCCAGCUACGCCCCUGAACAUAUACAGUGAAACGUACGAAAGGUGUCAGCUUAAGAGGAUACUGGAUGGAAUUAUUUGGGUAUAUUAUCAUGGUUUCAUACUGCUUUCAUAAUAAAUAUCCGAUUAAGAAUUACCUUGAUGUUCUCUUUGUUCCAUUCAAUCUGCCAUCAUCGUUUUUUAGUAAUAUUAUACAAAGGAGGUCAAGCUUUCAGUCUUGAAAAUAAAGCAUGUAUCACAUGAGUCAUUUUGUUCCUUUUGUCUACACUACUACACUUCAUACCAAAUACAGUUUUUUCAAUCCUUCUGCUGAGUCGAAUACCUGGGAUGUCCCUUAGCAAGUGCUUGCACAUUCAAGCACUUUAUUCCAGUAAGACAUAGUGCCUUAACAUGGGCCAUUUCUGCUUAUAUUUGCUUAGUUCGUGUGUGGACUUCAUUGUAUAAUUUGCAUGAUUAUCUUGUCACUGCCAGUUAUCUGACUAAUGCAAUACUCAAUAGUGUUUUACUCAUUGAAUGUUUAUAUUAUCACUUUAUUUAGUCUCAUUGUGUAAAAGUAUUUUA